rnacentral:misc_RNA from 1 species
GGUGGAGUAGGCUUAACAGAACGGUAGCAACCCACAAAAACAGUGAGACAAGCCGUUAGCACGACAUUCAAAUUUGGGUCCACAUUCACAACCAGUGGGGCCAAACUCAAACCUGCUAAAGCAACAUUUGCUAAUCGUUCACUAUUCAUCAUCCUCACAGACUACUAACUCAGAAAACACUUAGUUUUCUUCCCACAGCAACAGAGAUAAGCUUACAAAACAGAAGUAAAAUUGCUGAUCUCCGAGUAGACAGAUCAAGAUGAGAUUUUUCAACAAGAUAGAAUUUUUUGUAACGUUUUUGGAUUUUUUAUUUUUU